rnacentral:tRNA from 1 species
UCCCUAGUAGCUCAGAUGGUAAAGCUUCUGCUGGCAAUGCAGGAGACCCAGGUUCAAUCCCUGGGUCGGGAA